rnacentral:lncRNA from 1 species
CAGAAAAAAAAAAAAAAAAAGGGUGGGGGGAGGUAAAUUUAAUUGUAAGUUAUUUCACUAUAAAGCUGUUAAAAAAUAACUAUUAAGUCUAAACAGUAAUCCUGGGAAUGUAUAUUGGGAAACUAUAUUGUACCUCUGCAGAACUGAAAAACAUACAGAGACAGGCAUGCAGCCGGUGUUCAAUAAAUGCUUUCAGAAUGUAGUGGAAACAUUAUGCACCAGUGUUUAUUGAAAGGAAAGUCUCCCUGCUCUCUCAAGUUCAAGUCAGCCCAGGUUUAACAUUAUCCUUGUCUGCCACCUGGUGGCCCAAAUGGGCAAAGUGGGUGUCCUGGUCUUUCGCUCCAAACUUCAAAAAGCUGUAGUUGGGCUUAAAGGCCGUGGAUGGAAAGAAGGGAGACUUUCGCCCUGGAAAUCCGGUGCCCCGAGAGGCAAGUUGGUCAGAGGGGAGCACACAAUGAGAGGCUGCCAUCUAUUAACCAGAGAACAAGUCCUUGCCAGACAGCAAAUCUGCUGACACCUUGAUCCUGGACUUCUAAGCCUCUAUAACUUAGGACAUGAUGAAAACUUUACAGAUGAUAUGAUGUCUGGGAUUUGUUUCAAAUAAUGAUGCAAGAGAGAGGUGGCCAUCCGGAAAACACCAGGUUAUAUUCAACCUGAGAAAGCUGAUUUAAAACAGAAACAAAAACAAGAUCUUUGUUAUUGCUGAAGACGGACAAUGGGUAUGUUGGAUUUCUUAUACUACUGUUUCUACCUCAGACUUGGCUCAUCCUUUGGUGCUGUGCAGCCCUUGAGCAGGCUUGACCCUCUCUGUGCCUCAGGGAGGUUCACCUGCUGUUCUUAUUCCCACCAGCUCCCACCUGCCUGGCACUUUCCCUUUUGGAACCUCAGGUUCUGCUUCUGUAGGAUUUGGGAAAUCUGAGCCCAGUUUCAUAAUAAAAAGUCAGAAAACAGGUCAGUCGCAGUGGGUGACUUUGGUAAUCCUAGCACUUUGGGAGGCCGAGGUGGGUGGAUCACUUGAGGUUAGGAGUUCGAGACCA